GACGAACGCUGGCGGCGUGCUUAACACAUGCAAGUCGAACGGAAAGGCCCUGCUUUUGUGGGGUGCUCGAGUGGCGAACGGGUGAGUAACACGUGAGUAACCUGCCCUUGACUUUGGGAUAACUUCAGGAAACUGGGGCUAAUACCGGAUAGGAGCUCCUGCUGCAUGGUGGGGGUUGGAAAGUUUCGGCGGUUGGGGAUGGACUCGCGGCUUAUCAGCUUGUUGGUGGGGUAGUGGCUUACCAAGGCUUUGACGGGUAGCCGGCCUGAGAGGGUGACCGGCCACAUGGGGACUGAGAUACGGCACAGACGCCUACGGGAGGCAGCAGUGGGGAAUAUUGCACAAUGGGCGGAAGCCUGAUGCAGCAACGCCGCGUGCGGGAUGACGGCCUUCGGGUUGUAAACCGCUUUCGCCUGUGACGAAGCGUGAGUGACGGUAAUGGGUAAAGAAGCACCGGCUAACUACG
rnacentral:rRNA from 1 species